rnacentral:snRNA from 1 species
GGAUGUGAGGGCGAUCUGGCUGCGACAUCUGUCACCCCAUUGAUCGCCAGGGUUGAUUCGGCUGAUCUGGCUGGCUAGGCGGGUGUCCCCCUCCUCCCUCACCGAUCCAUGUGCGUCCCUCCCGAAGCUGUGCGUCGGUUGAAGAGGACGACCCCCCCCCCCCAGCCCCCAGGAGAGGACCGGUCUUCGGUCAAGGGUAUACGAGUAGCUGCACUCCUCUGCUAGAACCUCCAAACAAGCUCUCAAGGUCCAAAACUCCUGAAAAAAGAAACCCAUGCUCUCCCUCCCCUUG